AACGGUUGUCAGCAAUGGCAAUAGUGGCGCACGGGUGCGUAACGCGUAACCAACCUACCCGAAUCUGGGGGAUAGCCCGCCGAAAGGCGGAUUAAUACCGCAUAAAACUGCAGGACGGCAUCGUUUAACAGUUAAAGAUUUAUUGGAUUCGGAUGGGGUUGCGUGCCAUUAGCUAGUUGGGGGGGUAACGGCCCACCAAGGCGACGAUGGCUAGGGGAGCUGAGAGGCUGGUCCCCCACACGGGCACUGAGAUACGGGCCCGACUCCUACGGGAGGCAGCAGUAGGGAAUAUUGGGCAAUGGUCGAGAGACUGACCCAGCCAUGCCGCGUGCAGGAUGAAGGCUUUCUGAGUCGUAAACUGCUUUUGCCAGGGGAGAAAAAAGGGGAUGCGUCCUCUACUGACGGUACCUGGUGAAUAAGCACCGGCUAACUCCGUGCCAGCAGCCGCGGUAAUACGGAGGGUGCAAGCGUUGUCCGGAUUUAUUGGGUUUAAAGGGUGCGUAGGCGGCUUUUUAAGUCUGGGGUGAAAGCCCGUUGCUCAACAACGGAACUGCCCUGGAAACUGGAGAGCUUGAGUACAGACGAGGGUGGCGGAAUGGAUACUGUAGCGGUGAAAUGCAUAGAUAGUAUCCAGAACCCCGAUUGCGAAGGCAGCUGCCUAGACUGUAACUGACGCUGAGGCACGAGAGCGUGGGGAGCGAACAGGAUUAGAUACCCUGG
rnacentral:rRNA from 1 species